rnacentral:rRNA from 1 species
UGGGGAAUAUUGGACAAUGGGCGCAAGCCUGAUCCAGCCAUGCCGCGUGAGUGACGAAGGUCUUCGGAUUGUAAAGCUCUUUUUGGCGGGGACGAUAAUGACGGUACCCGCAGAAUAAGCCCCGGCUAACUUCGUGCCAGCAGCCGCGGUAAUACGAAGGGGGCUAGCGUUGUUCGGAAUCACUGGGCGUAAAGCGCACGUAGGCGGACUUAUAAGUCAGGGGUGAAAUCCCGGGGCUCAACCUCGGAACUGCCUCUGAUACUGUGAGUCUCGAGACCGGAAGAGGUGAGUGGAAUUCCUAGUGUAGAGGUGAAAUUCGUAGAUAUUAGGAAGAACACCGGUGGCGAAGGUGGCCCACUGGAUCGGUACUGACGCUGAGGUGCGAAAGCGUGGGGAGCAAACAGGAUUAGAUACCCCCGUAGUCCCUGAGCGGGCUGGCAAGGCGCAU